rnacentral:lncRNA from 1 species
ACUCCCAGUCACCCCGGAGGGAAGACACAGUGUAUAACCUGCCUGCUGGGCGGGCAAGGUCAGGCUCGGGCGGACUGCCUCCCUUCCGGACUUUUCCAUUAAUUUAUUUACACAGGCCCAGAACAAGCCCACAGACCUCUGCAGAAGUUGGCAGGCACAAGGUGGCAUUUAUUCUUCUGCAAACGGUCUCAUUUCUCCAGGGACCCCUCCUCUUUUAAAUGUGACCCAGGGAGGUGUUAGAGCAGCCAAAGAACCUAGAAAGAAGGAAAAUUUUCCCACCCAGACAGUUUGGCGACCUGCAAAGGGACCUUCUCUGGCUGGACACUGCUUGCUCCAGGGCUGCUGCAGCUGAGAGAGCCUUGGGCUUCUGACAAGAGCCAGCAGAAGGUAAGAAUUCUUACCAGAUGGAUCUCCUGGAUCUCCACCUGUUGGAUCCAGUGGCAGCGAGAGUGGUGAGAAUCCUCUUUCCUUUUCUAAAUGCAGAUUAGCAGGAGACGGUAUUUGUGUGAAGUCAUUCCUUGAGUAUGGUGAUUCUGGUAAAGAUUUGUUAUGAGUACUCUUGCCUCUAUUGAUCCUUUUUCUCCCGGAGAUAGAUAUUGUUUCCUUUGGUCUCUGUCACUUGUGUCCUUGGUCAUGAGGAAGAGAAUCAUAGCCCACAUGAGCUUUUUCCUUUCGUCCUGUUUCAUGUCUUGAGAGCUUAGCUUUGUGACCAAGGAGAAUAUUCUCACUGGAAGAUGCGUGUUCCAGCACGCGUUGGCAUACAGCCGAGUAGAUUGCAGAUCUGAAAAGCAGCACUGUCUUUGUCCACUGAGUCAGCUCUCCGGGGAGUUUGUCUUUAGGGGUUUUGGUCCACAAGGGGACCUUGUUGGUGAGGUUAAUGGGAAAGUCCCAUACCAGUAGUGCCAGACUGGUAUCCCAGCAGCUCUGUGACUGGAGGUCAUGUUCUUGAGGAAGACCAGAGCCACCAUUCUUACUGCCUGUGACACUGAAGGUCUUUGCUUGCUUGCUUGCUUGCUUUCUUUCUUUCUUUUUUUUUUUUGAAGAUUUUUAUUUAUUCAUGAGAUAGAGAGAGAGAGAGAGAGGCAGAGACACAGGCAGAGGGAGAAGCAGUCUCCAUGCAGGGAGCCUAAUGUGGGACUUGAUCCUUGGUCUCCAGGAUCAGGCCCUGGGCUGAAGGCGGCGCUAAACUGCUGAGCCACCCGGGCUUCCCAGGUCUUUGCUUUCUUAGCCUAAUUAUGGGAGUGAAUUUUCUGGAUCUUGUGAGGACUGCAUCCUCUGCACCCUCUUUUGGAAUGCUUCUCUUAUCCAUGGUUAAACCCCAAGAAGAUUUAAUUGGUUUGAGUCCCUGUUGAGAUUAAUAUAAGAUCCUAUUUGUCAAUGGCCAGAUAAUGGAUCCUCUGAAUUGGCUAUAUUUGAAAGAGAACAUUUUAGAGAGCUCUCCUCAAGCAAUGGUCUUAUUGGUAUCAUUUUUGUGGGAAAAAGAAAAAAAAACAAUUAAAAAGAG